rnacentral:rRNA from 1 species
AGCAGCCGCGGUAAUUCCAGCUCCAAUAGCGUAUAUUAAAGUUGUUGCAGUUAAAAAGCUCGUAGUUGAAUUUCGGGAUUAGUAAGUUGGUCGUGCCUCUGGUAUGUACUGGCUUUACUGGUUCCUCCUUCUUGAAGAACUGUAAUGUCAUUAAUUUGGUGUUGCAGGGAAACAGGACUGUUACUUUGAAAAAAUUAGAGUGUUUAAAGCAGGCUAACGCUUGAAUACAUUAGCAUGGAAUAAUGAAAUAGGACGUUUGAUCCUAUUUUGUUGGUUUCUAGGAUUGACGUAAUGAUUAAUAGGGAUAGUUGGGGGCAUUAGUAUUCAAUUGUCAGAGGUGAAAUUCUUGGAUUUAUUGAAGACUAACUACUGCGAAAGCAUUUGCCAAGGAUGUUUUCAUUAAUCAAGAACGAAAGUUAGGGGAUCGAAGACGAUCUGAUACCGUCGUAGUCUUAACCAUAAACUAUGCCGGCUAGGGAUCGGAUGAUGUUAAUUUUUUAAUGACUCAUUCGGCGCCUUA